UGUAAAUAAACAAGUUCAAUAAAACAUUAUUCAGUACUAAAAAGUUUUGUUGUGAUUUGUUUAAAAAAAACGUGAUUAUCGGUAAAAACGCAGGUGGGCCGAUUUUUUUGAUGACCAGUUUAUAAAUAUAAAUUUUAAAAUU